GGGGGCGUAGUUUAACCUGGCUAGAAUUUGCGGCUCCAGACCGUACGAUCAGGGUUCAAAUCCCUGCGCCCCCA
rnacentral:tRNA from 1 species